UGGGGAAUAUUGGACAAUGGGCGCAAGCCUGAUCCAGCAAUGCCGCGUGUGUGAAGAAGGCCUUCGGGUUGUAAAGCACUUUUAUCAGGAGCGAAACGCUGUCGGCUAAUACCCGGCGGAACUGACGGUACCUGAGGAAUAAGCACCGGCUAACUUCGUGCCAGCAGCCGCGGUAAUACGAAGGGUGCAAGCGUUAAUCGGAAUUACUGGGCGUAAAGCGUGCGUAGGCGGUUUCUUAAGUCUGCUGUGAAAUCCCCGGGCUCAACCUGGGAAUGGCAGUGGAUACUGGGAGGCUAGAGUGUGUCAGAGGGUGGUGGAAUUCCCGGUGUAGCGGUGAAAUGCGUAGAGAUCGGGAGGAACAUCAGUGGCGAAGGCGGCCACCUGGGACAACACUGACGCUGAGGCACGAAAGCGUGGGGAGCAAACAGGAUUAGAUACCCUGGUAGUCCACGCCCUAAAGCGAUGCGAACUGGAUGUUGGUCUCAACUCGGAGAUCAGUGUCGAAGCUAACGCGUUAAGUUCGCCGCCUGGGGAGUACGGUCGCAAGACUGAAACUUAAAUGAAUUGACGGGGUCAUAGCUGUUUCCU
rnacentral:rRNA from 1 species